rfam:Pseudoruegeria sp. SK021 NODE_14_length_89803_cov_44.028, whole genome shotgun sequence.
UACGAUGACCGGGCCCCUCUGGCGAAAGUAGCGGCACUUUCGCGAUGUCGGCGUCGACC